rnacentral:sRNA from 1 species
GACAGCUGUCGUGACAAUUAAUCAAAUGCGAGAAUUUUCGCGACGUGGACCGGUCGAAGGGCGGCCUUCAUGCCGCCCGUCUCAUUAAGCU